rnacentral:rRNA from 1 species
UACGGGAGGCAGCAGUGGGGAAUAUUAUACAAUGCAGGCAACCCUAAUCCAGCCCUGCCGCGUGUGUGAAAGAAAGGCCUUUCGCUUGUAAAGCUCAUUCUUGCAUGUGAAGAAGACCUAAUUGGUUAAUACCGUAGA